CACCCCCACCGGCAGCGGGACCCAGGUGGCCGGGGUCAAAUGUGAUUCGAGUUAAAACUGUUUGUUACCAGGAAAAUAGAAGUGGAGCCGUUCCGCCUCUUGUCUUGUGACUUCAACUCCCACUUUUUGUUAAAUGAGGCACCACAACCGGUAAGGAAACUCGGUUGGUGCCAUUUCAAGGCAGCGUGUCCUCAAUUCCUCUACUCCAGUCUACUGACUUGUCAGGCCUUUUCAGAUUCUCCAUCGUCUGUUGUGGAACAGAGCAUAAAGCCAGCUGACAGCAGUAACCAACUCUAUCAUCUCCACUAGAGGGAGAGCUAUCUCACAACAAGGCCACCAAGGAGCUGCAGCAGAGAACUACUGUAGUGGCGUAACUCAGCCCAGCAGUCCUACCCACCGUAAAGCCGCUCAACUUGGCAUGACUGGCUUGUAAUAAGUGGUCCCUCCUCUCAUCACACAAUCCUGAGUCGCUGCCUUCCACAUUCAUCAAUUCUAAUUAGUGAAAAUCAUCUUGUGGAAUACCAACUUUUGGCCAAUAUUCAUCACUGUCAGUCCUCAUCUGUAGCAGCACAAUGACAGAUGCAGGAUCUGAGAGUGCCCAAGUAGCACUGACUUAGCUGUUUUAUUCCCUAAUCUCACCCUGUGUGCUCGUGGAGCCCAAGCAACUCUGCAGUGCACACUCCCUGACAGCAAUUACUUUAUGCAAAAAGAGUGGAAGAGUUCAGUGAGUGGUGUGAGUGAGAAUAAGCCUCAUCUGAACUCUGUUAGCAGGCUUCAGCAUUCCAAUAGGAACAGCUCACUUCCCCUGGGCACUAAAGGGCAGUGACGACAGGUUUGUGGCACUGCAAAAGGGAUCGUGAUGUGACAUUGCCCAUCUUACACUGCUAUUGUAAAAUGAUUACAUAAUUACAAUGAUUCAUUGGUACCGUGCUCAUACUUGGUGAGUGGUGAUCCCUCGAAAAACCAUUCAUACAUUGCAUUAUGAACGUGUUCCAAAUAUGGUAACACUUUAAUACAGCCACAAAACACAAUUUUACCAUUGUUUGUCACUGUGCUAUGUACCUCUGUGUUACUGUGCAAAACUGUAUUGCUUUGGCUGUGCAUGUUUGGGUGUUUAUUUUGUGUGCGUGUUACUCUGUUGCUGUCUGUGUGUUCGUUUGUGUGGUGCCAUGUUAAUUUUAAUGUUUUUUUAAGCAAUUAAAAUGUGUGCCUUACCCCCGUUCCAUUGCUAAGAUGCGUUAACCAAUAGCAGAAACCAGUAAAAGUUCUAAAUGUGUACCUACACAGCAGGUGGAUAGCUCAGUGCUUAACACCACUGACUUUGGUAUGGCAGGUCAGGGUUCAGUUCCCUGUCAGGGCAUGAUAAAUCAUUUUGCAAUUGUGAUUUAAAUCCCUGUGCAAUCUCAGUCUCAUGGGACUAUGGAAUGAAUGUCUUCUUGAAUAGCCACCAAUAUAUUCUAACCUAUUACAAGAAUCUGAUUUCCGGAUCUCGUAAUUAUGACUAAACAUUAAAAGUCAUCACACUAACCAAUAGCAAAGACCAGUAAAAGUUCUGAUUGGCGUGCCUACUUUGGUACAGCAGGAGUGGGGGGGAUUCAGGGUGCAAAUUCUAGCUGUGGGUCCUUGAGCAAGGCCCUUAAUGCUAACCACCUAGUGAGGUACAACACUAAUGCUAUGGCAAAGGGGAGCCAGGAGCAGACAUCAUCCUUCAACCACAUUCAGAGAUUGAAGAUCACAAAAUUUUCCCACAGUCUAUUCUAGGCUGGGAACAGCUGAUAGGCUAAGAUAGGGACAGGCCGUGGCUUAGUGGUGUGCCUUCUGAAACAAGCACAGACACGUGGGAGAAAGGCAUAG